rnacentral:miRNA from 1 species
GCAGACACAUUCCAGCCAAUCAGCAGCAGACCCUCCCUCCCAGACCCUCCCACCUCGUGGACAGCAUCCAUUUUACAUUCAUUGUGAAGCUGCAUUCUUAGUGAGCUGUCCAGGAGGUGGGAGGGUCUGGGAGGGAGGGUCUGCUGCUGAUUGGCUGGAAUGUGUCUG